rnacentral:rRNA from 1 species
GAUGAACGCUGGCGGCGUGCCUAAUACAUGCAAGUCGAGCGAACAGAUGAGGAGCUUGCUCCUCUGACGUUAGCGGCGGAAGGGUGAGUAACACGUGGAUAACCUACCUAUAAGACUGGGAUAACUUCGGGAAACCGGAGCUAAUACCGGAUAAUAUAUUGAACCGCAUGGUUCAAUAGUGAAAGACGGUUUUGCUGUCACUUAUAGAUGGAUCCGCGCCGCAUUAGCUAGUUGGUAAGGUAACGGCUUACCAAGGCAACGAUGCGUAGCCGACCUGAGAGGGCCGUCGGCGACACUGAUCCUGGCACACCGUCCACCCCCCGACGGGGGGCAGCAGUAGCGAUGCCCCCGCAACGGGCGCAGGCCUGCCGGAGCACCGCCGCGUGAUCGAGGAAGGCCUCCGCACCGUAAAACGCUGUUACAAUGGAAGAACAAAUGUGCAAGUACCUAUGCACGUCUGGACGGUACCUAUUCAGAAAGCCACGGCUCACUACGUG